GACGAACGCUGGCGGCGUGCUUAACACAUGCAAGUCGAACGGAAAGGCCCUGCUUUUGUGGGGUGCUCGAGUGGCGAACGGGUGAGUAACACGUGAGUAACCUGCCCUUGACUUUGGGAUAACUUCAGGAAACUGGGGCUAAUACCGGAUAGGAGCUCCUGCUGCAUGGUGGGGGUUGGAAAGUUUCGGCGGUUGGGGAUGGACUCGCGGCUUAUCAGCUUGUUGGUGGGGGAGUGGCUUACCAAGGCUUUGACGGGUAGCCGGCCUGAGAGCGUGACCGGGCACAUGGGGACUGAGGUACGGACCAGACUGCUACGGGAGGCAGCAGGGGGGAAUAUUGCACAGUGAGCGGAAGCCUGAUGCAGCAACGCCGCGUGCGGGAAGACGGCCUGUGGGUUGUAAACCGCUUUCGACUGUGACGAAGCGUGAGUGACGGUAACUGGUAAAGAAGCACCGGCUAACUACGUG
rnacentral:rRNA from 1 species